rnacentral:rRNA from 1 species
UAAACGGCGGCCGUAACUCUAACGGUCCUAAGGUAGCGAAAUUCCUUGUCAGGUAAGUUCUGACCCGCAUGAAUGGCGUAACGAUCUCCCCACUGUCUCCAACAUAGACUCAGCGAAAUUGAAUUGUCAGUGAAAAUGCUGACUACCCGCGGCUAGACGGAAAGACCCUAUGAAGCUUUACUACAGCUUUGUACUGGCAUUAGGGCAUGACUGCGUAGGAUAGGCGGGACGCUUUGAAGUCGGAAUUUUGGUUCCGACGGAGCGGACGGUGAAAUACCGCCCUGUCAUGUUUUAAUGUCUAACUUGCCCCCGUGAACCCGGGGGAAGGACAGUGCAUGGUGGGUAGUUUGACUGGGGUGGUCGCCUCCCAAAUUGUACCGGAGGCGCGCGAUGGUUUGCUCAGGUUGGUCGGAAAUCAACCGGUGAGUGCAAUGGCAUAAGCAGGCCUGACUGCGAGGAGGACACUCCGAGCAGAGACGAAAGUCGGUCAUAGUGACCCGGUAACUUCCGCAUGGAAGGGUUAUCGAACACGGAUAAAAGCUACUCUAGGGAUAACAGGCUGAUGCUGCCCAAGCGUCCAUAGCGACGGCAGUGUUUGGCACCUCGAUGUCGACUCAUCACAUCCUGGGGCUGGAGCAGGUCCCAAGGGUAUGGCUGUUCGCCAUUUAAAGUGGUACGUGAGUUGGGUUAAUAACGUCGCGAGACAGUUAGGUCCCUAUCUACCGCGGGCGCUGGAAAUUUGAGCAGACUUGUUCUUAGUACGAGAGGACCGGAACGAACGAACCACUGGUGUUCCUGUUGUCGCGCCCGCGGCACCGCAGGUUAGCUAUGUUCGGAACGGAUAACCGCUGAAUGCAUCUAAGCGGGAAGCCGGCUGCAAGAUUAGAUUUCCCCACGAAUCCUCCGGAAGACCACCGGGUUGAUAGGCGGCAGGUGUAAGCAUGGCGACAUGUUCAGCCCAGCCGUACUAAUCGGAUGAUUGACUUUUUUCC